UCAGGCCUAACACAUGCAAGUCGAACGGUAACGCGGGGGCAACCCUGGCGACGAGUGGCGAACGGGUGAGUAAUACAUCGGAACAUAUCCAGUAGCGGGGGAUAACCUAUCGAAAGAUUGGCUAAUACCGCAUACGAUCUACGGAUGAAAGCGGGGGACCGCAAGGCCUCGCACUAUUGGAGUGGCCGAUGUCAGAUUAGCUAGUUGGUGGGGUAAAAGCCUACCAAGGCGACGAUCUGUAGCUGGUCUGAGAGGACGAUCAGCCACACUGGAACUGAGACACGGUCCAGACUCCUACGGGAGGCAGCAGUGGGGAAUUUUGGACAAUGGGCGCAAGCCUGAUCCAAAAGUGCCGCGUGAGUGAAGAAGGCCUUCGGG
rnacentral:rRNA from 1 species